UCCCCAUCAUCGUUUCUCUUCCCUCUACCUCUCUCUUUCAUGGGGAGCUGACGAUUGUACACCCAAAACCCUAGCUGUGGCUCAUGGUCGAUGGCCAGGCGGCUGGGACGGUGGGUGUGAGGGGCCUCCAGGCAGUCAUGUAUGUGUGCGUUAGAGCAUGUCGGCGGCGGAGAGGACCACGGUGAGGCUGGAGUGCGGCCAUGAGAUCUUCUAUCUCGCAACCAUGCUUUUUGCCCAGGUAGCAGGCCUCAUGCCUUGGUAGUUGGUGCAGAUCCGAUAGAUAUAAGAGACAAGCUAAUAGGGGCAAAAUUAUUUAAAGCAUAUUUUCCUUCAAGAGCAUUGUGUUUACUAUAAUUUAGUAAGCAGAGAUUGCAGAGACUACUCAUAAGAAUGAAAGAAUCACCUGUUAACGAUGAGUCUGGUGAGGCAAGGCUAACCCUGGGGAGGCCCUCUCCGUGCCGAAGUCACUGGCGUUGGUACAGAAGCUUGCUGGCUCAUGAUCUUCUUUUCGGCAGCGGGCAGGCGCAAAGGAGGAAUGGGGGAAAAGCUAUAGCUGCAGCUUGCCGAUGCAAAUGAACACGAUGCCACCUUUCUUUAUCCAUGAGUAUAACAGACUGAGACCAUCAAGUUACCGUGGAGCUGAUUUGUUUCUUUUUUUCCUUCUCACCUAUCAGAAGGCCAACUAUAAGAAUGUCCCAAACUUUCAGUUUAAAGAAUAUUCCAAGGAAGGCACCAUGCUUAUUCUUAUUCAUCUUAUGCGAAUAAAUUUUUGCUC